GAGGGAAGGUGUUUGGGAUGAGAAGAGGCUCGGAUCCACCUGGGUGUGAAUGCUGUGUGCACACACAGUGUGUGCAUGUAUGUGUGUGCCUGUGCUUGCCCUGGGGAAGCUCUGCAGUGUAAUUGCUCUCUGCAGAGCAUGGCCCGCUGUGUAAUUAAGCUGAGUGCUGGCGGCUCCCAGCACAGAAACGAUUUUGUGUGCACUUGGCGUUCACCCUGUCCCUUUCCUUAAUCAAAAGCGCUGCUUCCAUUUCCCACACAAAAUGGUUCCCAGACCGAGAGGAGGGCAGCCUUCCUGCAUCUUUGGCAAGAUGGUGGCUUCUGGGAAGAAAAGAUGGAGGGAUACAGAGAAAGGAUGUCCUCAAUGUGCAGUGGCUGAACUUCUGUGCUUCACCACCCAAGAAAAGUGCACUGGCCAGAGCCAGCAUUUUACAGCAUCCAUCCCUGCCGUCUGGUCCUAUUUGGCCCUACUCACGAUGAACAGAAAUUACUCCAAAUAUCCAAACCACUCAAGCAGCGUGUGGUAGGGUUGGGGGAGGGGCAGAAUAUCCCUCUGGAGCACGGGCUGCCUGGGGUCUGGCCCAUCAUGAAGUCCCUUCAUGGUCUACCCAUGAGGCUACACAGAAGACAUCCAGCCAUCCAGAAGGGACAGGAAAGAACAUCAAGGGAAUGUGACCAGAUUUUGCUCCUUCAUCAGACUGGAAAAGUUUGACACAGAUUUCAGAGCUCCCCAAAGCAUUUUUACAAAAUGGUUCCAUUAUGGCUGUGCGUCUCAGUUUCCACAUUUUAUUUCUCUCAUUGAAUUUAUUAACAUAAACCGGCUCCUGUGUUUUGCAGAUCAAGUUUUUGUUGUUUGUUUUGUUUUCAAGAUAGGGUUUCUCUGUGUAGCCCUGGCUAUCCUGGGACAUGAUCUUUAGACCAGGCUGGCCUCAAACUCAUAGAGAUCCAUCUGUCUCUGUCUCACAUGCGCUGGUCUUCAAGUCAUGUACCACCAGCACCAGGCUAUGUAGAUCAUUUAAAAAAGACACCCGUAAGGUCUGUAGUGAUGGCCCAUCCUUUGUCCUCAGUAUCUGUGCUUAGUGUUACUUUGUUUUCUUGUGUUUCUUUUUUGGUCAUUUGAUACAGAGGUAUAUCCCUUGUAUCAACUCUUUCAAAAAUACUGCUUUGGGCCCUCAUUAAUUUUCUGCUUUUCCCUCUUUCCUUACUUUUAAUGUUUUCAUUGUUACAUUUGCCAGCACAUGCGUGUGGCAAUCGGAGGGCAGCUUUGUGGACUCAGUUCCCUCACUGUAUAGGUCCUGGGGAUCGAACCCAGAUCGUGAUCCUUGGCACCAAGCUCCUUUACCUGCUGAGCCAUCUUGCUGGCCCUUUACUGUUUCCUCAUCUCUGCUAUCCCUUUCUUGGAUCUUGUGUUUAACUUGCUUCCUUCUUCUCUUCCCUAACACAGAUGCUCACAGCACCCACUUGAAAGUCACUCAUAGCUGACCUGGCACGUCAGCCAGAUUCUCUCUCUGAGGAUCCUGUGAGCCACUCUCGGCAAAUUGGAAUAUGCUCUUCUCGAUGCUGCUGGUCUGAGAUGAGCGCUUUCCCACAGCUGCUUCUGUUAGCUGUGAAUGUUUUUGCCUUCUUUUAAAAGAUAUAUAGGGUUGGGGAUUUAGCUCAGCGGUAGAGCGCUUGCCUAACAAGCGCAAGGCCCUGGGUUCGGUCCCCAGCUCUGAAAAAAAAAGAAAAAAAUAUAUAUAUUUCUUUGACAGUUCCAUACGUGCACAUGUAGUGUUUGCUUAUCACAUUUUUAGGUCAGCACCAACUCACUCUCCCAUGUCUUCUCAAUACCUCCUCUCCCUCCUCUCCGUCUUCCUUCUCCUCCUCUUCUGUAACACCACACAGGGUACAGUGAGUGUUGCCUGAAUGCACAUCACUAUUGAGCCAUCCAAGGGGCGUGGGCAGCCUACCAGCAGCCAUCUAUACCUUUGGAGAAGCUCAGCCCUCUUCUCUGGAAGCAUCCGUUGUCAGUAGAUCUUCACCCACGGAUGGGACUUUAUGAGCCCUCCUCACUCCCCACUCCUGUCCAUGCUGGAUAUUGAUUGGCUCGAUCGUGUGAACAUCACCACAGCUGCCGUGAGUUCAUGAAUACAAUGCUGCCAGAGGACAGCAUUUCACACCCUUCCCUGAGCCUCUCUCUCUGAUGUUCUUCCUGCUUCCUGUCUCACAGUGUCCCCUGAGCUCUGCAGGGGACAGAUGGAUAUAGGUGUCCCAUCAGAGUUGAACACUAACAGUCACUUGGUUGUUAGCACUUUGACCAAGUUGUGAGCCCCGGCACCUACCACUACACUGGAAGACACCUCCCUGACCAAGGCCGGGGCCACUGCUAAUUUAUGGAUAUAAAUAGGAAUAUUUAGGAGGCAAUUUGACAGUGUGUCCAUUUUUUCUCCUCAGGCCUGUGACCUGAUCCACAGCUUUUGACCCUAUGAAGCAGACCUCAGGUCCCAUCAGAAAACAGUUGCUUUCUGAAACCGCCAUGCCUCUC
ensembl:lncRNA